AUGAUUUUGUUGGCUGGAGUAGUUGGUGUUGUAUCAGCAAUUUCCGGAAUCAGUCAUAUCUGUUCAUGGACUGCUAAGAGUCUGCCAUCUGCAGCUUCAGUUGCUACCAUGGCUUGGACUCUUACACUUCUUGCCAUGGGCUUCGCCUGGAAAGAGAUUGAGCUUCAAAUUAGAAACGCACGUCUGAGAACCAUGGAGGCUUUCUUAAUUAUCCUCUCAAUUACACAACUUCUCUACAUAAUUGCCAUUGAUGGUGCUGCUGCAUAUAAUAUAUAUACUUGA